rnacentral:rRNA from 1 species
UACGAAGGGUGCAAGCGUUACUCGGAAUUACUGGGCGUAAAGCGUGCGUAGGUGGUUUGUUAAGUCUGUUGUGAAAGCCCCGGGCUCAACCUGGGAAUGGCAAUGGAUACUGGCAAGCUAGAGUGCGGUAGAGGGUAGUGGAAUUCCCGGUGUAGCGGUGAAAUGCGUAGAGAUCGGAAGGAACACCAGUGGCGAAAGCGGCUUCCUGGUCCAGCACCGACGUUCAGGCACGAAAGCGUGGGGAGCAAACAGG